rnacentral:snRNA from 1 species
GUGCUCACUUCGGCAGCUCAUACACUAAAAUUGGAACAAUACAGAGAUGAUUAGCACGGCCCCUGUGCAAGGAUGACAUGCGAAUUCAUAACGUGUUCCAUAUCUUU